AUUGAACGCUGGCGGCAGGCCUAACACAUGCAAGUCGAACGGUAACAGGAAGCUGCUUGCUGCUUCGCUGACGAGUGGCGGACGUGUGAGUAAUGUCUGGGACACUGCCUGAUGGAGGGGGAUAACUACUGGAAACGGUAGCUACUACCGCAUAACGUCGCAAGACCAAAGAGGGGGACCUUAGGGCCUCUUGCCAUCGGAUGUGCCCAGAUGGGAUUAGCUAGUAGGUGGGGUAACGGCUCACCUAGGCGACGAUCCGUAGCCGGUCUGAGAGGAUGACCAGCCACACUGGAACUGAGACACGGUCCAGACUCCUACGGGAGGCAGCAGUGGGGAAUAUUGCACAAUGGGCGAAAGCCUGAUGCAGCCAUGCCGCGUGUAUGAAGAAGGCCUUCGGGUUGUAAAGUACUUUCAGCGGGGAGGAAGGGAGUAAAGUUAAUACCUUUGCUCAUUGACGUUACCCGCAGAAGAAGCACCGGCUAACUCCGUG
rnacentral:rRNA from 1 species